UUACCAGACUCCUACGGGAGGCAGCAGUGGGGAAUAUUGCACAAUGGGGGAAACCCUGAUGCAGCGACGCCGCGUGAAGGAAGAAGUAUUUCGGUAUGUAAACUUCUAUCAGCAGGGAAGAAAAUGACGGUACCUGACUAAGAAGCCCCGGCUAACUACGUGCCAGCAGCCGCGGUAAUACGUAGGGGGCAAGCGUUAUCCGGAAUUACUGGGUGUAAAGGGAGCGUAGACGGCUGUGCAGGUCUGGAGUGAAAGGCGGGGGCCCAACCCCCGGACUGCUCUGGAAACUGUAUGGCUGGAGUGCAGGAGAGGUAAGCGGAAUUCCUAGUGUAGCGGUGAAAUGCGUAGAUAUUAGGAGGAACACCAGUGGCGAAGGCGGCUUACUGGACUGUAACUGACGUUGAGGCUCGAAAGCGUGGGGAGCAAACAGGAUUAGAUACCCUCGUA
rnacentral:rRNA from 1 species